AUCUUUCCUUUAGUCUUGAAUUACCAAUUUGACUAUUUUGUCAUGCAUAAUACGAAGGUUCGAAUCCCCACGAGGGGU
rnacentral:tRNA from 2 species